rnacentral:rRNA from 1 species
UACGAAGGGGGCUAGCGUUGCUCGGAAUCACUGGGCGUAAAGCGCACGUAGGCGGAUCGCUAAGUCAGGGGUGAAAUCCUGGAGCUCAACUCCAGAACUGCCUUUGAUACUGGCAAUCUCGAGUCCGGGAGAGGUGAGUGGAACUGCGAGUGUAGAGGUGAAAUUCGUAGAGAUCAGGUGGAACACCGGAGGCGAAGGCGCCUGCCUGGCAGUGUAUUGACGCUGAGGUGCGAAAGUGCGGGGAGCAAACAGG